rnacentral:rRNA from 1 species
UACGGGGGGAGCAAGCGUUGUUCGGAUUUACUGGGCGUAAAGGGCGCGUAGGCGGUCAGCACAAGUCAGUUGUGAAAUCUCCGGGCUUAACUCGGAAAGGUCAACUGAUACUGUGCGACUAGAGUGCAGAAGGGGCAACUGGAAUUCUCGGUGUAGCGGUGAAAUGCGUAGAUAUCGUAAGGAAGACCAGUGGCGAAGGCGGGUCUCUGGGCAGUUCCUGACGCUGAGGCACGAAGGUCAGGGGAGCAAACGGG